GGGUUUAGGGUUGUGGGACAGGGCGUUAAGGUUAUGGGACAGGUAGUUAGGGUUAUGGGACAGGAGGAUAGGGUUAUGGGACAGGAGGAUAGGGUUAUGGGAAAGGAGGUUAGGGUUAUGGAACGAGGGGUAGGGUUAUGGGACAGGGGUUUAGGGUUUAGGGUUAUGAGACAGGAGGUUAGCGUUAUGGGACAGGUGCUUAGGGUUAUUGGACAGGGCGUUAGGGGACAGGAGGUUAGGGUUAUGGGACAGGGGGUUAGUGUUUAGGGUUAUGAGACAGGAGGUUAGCGUUAUGGGACAGGUGCUUAGGGUUAUCGGACAGGGCGUUAGGGGACAGGAGGUUAGGGUUAUGGGACAGGGGGUUAGGUUUUAGGAUUAUGAGACAGGAGGUUAGGGUUAUGGGACAGGAGGUUAGGGUUAUGGGACAGGGGUUUAGGGUUUUGGGUUUUGAGACAGGAGGUUAGCGUUAUGGGACAGGGGUUUGGGGUUAUGGGACAGGGCGUUAGGGGACAGGGGGUUAGGGUUAUGGGACAGGGGGUUAGGUGUGUGUCAGUAGAAUAUUGGGUUAUGGCUAGCUAGUUGCAGUACAGUGGUGUAGUGGUAACAGUGGGUUAGGGUUAAGGGGGUUGGGGGGUUAGCAGUAGAGUAGCCCGAGGGGCUUCUGCCAUUCUCAGCCAGAGGACACACACUGUCACUCUCUGUCUGCAUCACUGUCUGCACCCACCGCUG
ensembl:lncRNA